GAACGCACCUUGCACCCUUUGGUAUUCCGAAGGGUAUGCUCGUUUGAGUGUCAUUGUACUCUCACACUUCUGAUCUUUGGAUUGGGAGCGGUGGACUUGGGUGUUGCUGCUUACUGUGGCUCACCUCAAAUCGAUUCGUGCACCUCUUGGUUGGACAUAGUACGGCGUGAUAAGUGUCUUCGCCGGCACCUCAUUCGAGGGUGGCUGAUCGGGAGCUCUGUGCUUCAAACCGUCCUCGGACAACAACUGACAACUUGACCUCAAAUCGAGUAGGACUACCCGCUGAACUUAAG
rnacentral:misc_RNA from 1 species